CUGAAGACUUGGAAUCAGCAGCUUCAUCCUUGUGCAUGCCACUGGCUUGCCAUACUGACACGGACAAACUCCAUCUCUCUGCCCGUCUUAGUACAUGCAUGUCAUUUCACACGCUGCUCAGGGUAGGGGGAUUGGACCUUGGUGGUACCCAAUCAGAGGCUUAUCACAAUUUCAUAAGCUUCAGCCUCUGAGCUGAGGGACUUCAUAACGCCCCUGUUGUAACUAUCACGCACUAUGAAGCAGUUAACAGUGAUGCCUCAGUGGUGCCAAUAGUAAACUGAGGCGUUACAAGAACAAAUGACUUUUUCAGGCUGGCUUUGUGAAUCAGUGAGAGAGAAGGAGAAGCUGUCCACAUCUGUCUCCCAGUCGAAUCUUAACUAUUAAGCUCAUUUACCCUAUAAUUCCUUUAAUGCUCAUUAGCUGAGUGGGUCCCAGAUGGAUCUAUUUUUUUUUCUUUAGCAGUAAAAAGCAAUCAUGAAGUUCAGGUUUGAAUCCAGCUCAAUGAUGAUAAGAAAAAUCUGGGGUUCUGCAUCCUGGACCUUGAGCAUUUGUCUAGCAGCUCAGAUGCCAUCAUACAACCUUGAGAGCCCAGUACAGAAAAGCCAUGUGUCACCUUCUGAUAAAUUGAGGAAUCAGGACUACCAUGUGACUUCUGAUGACAAAUGCUAGACUUCUCAGGGUCUGAGGUACUCCCAGUGGAAUAAAGGCA